UGUAUUCUUUGUUUCAAAAAGAAGAUAUACAAAUAAAAAAUACAGAAAUAUGUAGUGGAAAAGGGAACAUCCCCAGUCAUCCCAGCUUUGGAACUCAGUAUCAUCCAAAAAGAGCAGUUUUAUGUCCAAAUGACUUUUUCCUUCAAAUAUUUGGAAAGCUUGUAUUUUAAAGUGGGGCAGGAAAUUUUAUAUUUCAUAAUCUUUAGACUUAGGACAUUAAACUGAAGUACAUUUGAAAUUACUCCAAAUAUAUUUUGUAGCCUACCCAUUAACCCUUUAUAUACUUAUUAAUUGAAAUGUACUUUCUUUCCUAGAAUGGAAUCUAUAGAGAAAAUGGAGUCUGAUUUUAAAAACUGCCAUAUGUUUCUUGUAACCGUUUUAAACAAAGCUGUCUGCAGAGGAUCCUUUCCCCAUUUGGAAUCUCUCGCACUGUCACUCAUGGCUGGCAUGGAACAAAGUUAAAUAUCUUUAAUGUAGUAAAUACCCAAGAUUUGAUCUUUAUACAUAAAUAAUUCCACCACAUGCAGCUGAGAAACCAGAAUCUCUAUUUUGGUUCAUUUUAAAAACUGUUGUCUACUAUCGAGACAAGUACAUUUGUAGGUGUUUUCUUUGAUAUUAUUGGAUAGUAUAUAAGGUUAUGUGUAUAAAAUUAUAUCAAUAAAGCAAAAUGUAUAUAA